rnacentral:rRNA from 1 species
AUUGAACGCUGGCGGCAGGCCUAACACAUGCAAGUCGAGCGGAUGACGGGAGCUUGCUCCUUGAUUCAGCGGCGGACGGGUGAGUAAUGCCUAGGAAUCUGCCUGGUAGUGGGGGACAACGUUUCGAAAGGAACGCUAAUACCGCAUACGUCCUACGGGAGAAAGCAGGGGACCUUCGGGCCUUGCGCUAUCAGAUGAGCCUAGGUCGGAUUAGCUAGUUGGUGAGGUAAUGGCUCACCAAGGCGACGAUCCGUAACUGGUCUGAGAGGAUGAUCAGUCACACUGGAACUGAGACACGGUCCAGACUCCUACGGGAGGCAGCAGUGGGGAAUAUUGGGCAAUGGGCGAAAGCCUGAUCCAGCCAUGCCGCGUGUGUGAAGAAGGUCUUCGGAUUGUAAAGCACUUUAAGUUGGGAGGAAGGGCAGUAAGCUAAUACCUUGCUGUUUUGACGUUACCGACAGAAUAAGCACCGGCUAACUCUGUGCCAGCCGCCGCAGUAA